rnacentral:siRNA from 1 species
UUAACAACAAACGACUGACCAAAAUAAA